UUAGGCGUAAAUCUGAGUUCUUUCCCUCCCUCUUUCUAAUUUUCAUGCAAACCUUCAACAUAUAUUUAAUAAGCACAAACCAUGCGAGUCCACCCCUCUGUCUGCUCUGUUGAUAGCUCUGGUGGUGGCUUUUCCAACAUAUUCUUCUGGGGACAGGAAGUCACGCCAAAUGAGAGUGAAACCCCUGAUGACCAAGGACCUAUGUUGCCCUAAAAAGCCCUUGCCCAGGUAGGGUCCCCUGCAGAGAGGAAUCCUGGCCGUCACCUACUUCAUCCUUGCUGAAGGGCGGGGACACCCGUCAUCUAACACUGGCUUGGGGCCCAGCGUUCCAACUCCUGCUGCGUCACCUGAACUCAGAAGACAAGGAGCGAGGGAGAAGCCACCCAGAUCUAUUCAGCCGUGAGACAAAGAGGAAGUCAGUGAGUCCUUGGUUGCCUCAGCUGACAGAUGUCCCCAGCACCUCAGAGAUUUCGAGACUUUUGUUCAAGGGGUAAUUUGGGCUCAUCUGUUGCUCUCCUGCCCUUCAGCACUCCUGAAAGACACUUGGUUGGAAUGGUACUGACCGCUACUGUUUACUGAGGACUGAGCUCUUCUGUGCAUAUCUCAUCUAAAUCUUUCAACAACCCCGAGGGAUUAGCCCUGAGCUAACAUCUGCUGCCAAUCCUCCUCUUUUUGCUGAGGAAGACUGGCCCUGAGCUAACAUCCAUGCCCAUCCUCCUCUACUUUAUAUGUGGGACAUCUACCCCAGCGUGGUGUGCCAAGCAGUGCCAUGUCUGCACCCAGGAUCCAAACCGGCGAGCCCCGGGCCACUGAAGGGGAAUGUGCGCACUUAACCGCUGCGCCACCUGGCCGGCCCCCAACACUGUGUCUUAAAGGUCUUUCCAUAUCAGUAGAUGUACACUCCCUUCGCUAUUUUUUAAUAACGGCAGAGUAUUCCCCUGUAUGGAUGUACCAUCGAUUUCCCUGAUGAUCACUAUUUAGGGUUCUUUCUAUUUUGUAAUGAGCGCUGUUGCCAUGAACACCCUGUGCCUCCCACCUCGUGUACGUCUGUCAUCUUGUCCUGGGGUAGGGCCGUGGGAUCGCUGGGUCAGAGUGUGGAUGUUAACAUUUUGAUCAACGUUGACACACUGUUUUUGAAAAAGCCUCCCUCCCAUCACGUGGCAGUGCCGGUUUCCCCACAUCUUCACCAGCACUGUGCAGCUUCCAUCUUUGUCAUUUUCGUCUCUCUAAUAGGCUCUUUUUAAUAGCCACUAACUCUCCUGCCCCAUUUUCCUGUCUUAGAACCCUUAAAACUUCACCCCUUAAAUAUCCUGUUGUCUAGCCAUGGUGACCACGCCGUAGUCCUAGAGUGGGGUCCAUCCCCUGGGGCCAAGUUGUCCCCUACAAUGAAAUCUGGAGACAUCACCAGCAUCCACUGUUUAAUAUUUAUCGGGGCCUGCUGUGUGCUGGGCCCACACAGCAACCAAGACCUUUGGGAGGAAAACAUGCAGUGAUUUGGAAGGCAGAGAUUACUUAAUAAAAA
rnacentral:lncRNA from 1 species